rnacentral:lncRNA from 1 species
ACAUUAAGUGGCUUAAUGCACUUACAAUCUCCCCCUUUUUGGUGAUUGAUGACAACCUUGAUUAAAGCUUACAAAAGAUAAUAAAUUUAAGCUCUCGGGUUUAAUGAUUUAUUUGAAGCUCCCCCUUAAUAUGUGCAAUAUGAAUGGAAUUCAUAAUGAGACCUAUAAAGGUCAAUUUGCACAUUUUAAGUGAGUGACAAGCUCCCCCUAAAUCAUUGCAUCCGGUGCAAGUGAAUGUGAACAAUAUAACCGAGAUGCACAUGACAUCUAUAAAUCACACAAGAAUAAAUACAAAACAUACACCAACACAUGUCAGGGCAGCACAUUUGCAAAAAAAGAAAUCUAAAAAUUAUAACCAACACACAUAGCAAACAUCACAUAGAUUUCCCAAGUCCACAAGUCACUAAGAUAAAGAUCAUGUCUUAUUCAACAUCUCACAUAGACUCAACAUGAUACAAGAUGAUAUAACAAGCCUCAUGAUAAUAUAACAAGUCUCAUGAUAAUAUAACAAGUCUCAUGAUACAUCAAAAAGCUCAUCAUAGACACUACAGCUGCAGUACAUAUCUCAGAAUAUGCCAAACAUGAAGAACAUCUGAAGCUUUAAUCAAUAUCUCUCCCCCUUUGUCAUCCAUCUCCAAAAUGUACAGGAACAAGCAUAUGACAUAGGAGGGCUGCAAGCUGUAACCGGCUAUCUCUCACUCGUCAUAAUCAUCAUCAUCAUCGUCAUCUCCAUACCUCUGAUCCGGAGAGCGAGAAGUACCUGGUGGGCGAGAACCACUCUGUCCUGGGUCACCUAGAUGGCCAUAGCCACCAAAGCCACUAGAAGUCCCUGCACCACCGAAGCCAUGGUCAUAGUCUUGUGACUCACCAAAGUAAAGAAAACUAUCCCACCAGUGCUCCUGUGACUGCUGCUGCAAGGGCGCCUCAGGCUGCUCGCCCUGGUCUGUCUGACCCUACUGUACCUAUGGUGGAACUGGCUGUGACUGAGAGUAUCCACCAAACUCCUGCUGAAACUCUCUCUCAUAUCUAG